rnacentral:rRNA from 1 species
UAGGGAAUCUUUCACAAUGGGCGAAAGCCUGAUGGAGCAACGCCGCGUGUGUGAUGAAGGGUUUCGGCUCGUAAAACACUGUUGUAAGAGAAGAAUGACAUUGAGAGUAACUGUUCAAUGUGUGACGGUAUCUUACCAGAAAGGAACGGCUAAAUACGUGUCAG